UGGAUGCCUGCUCUUGUUCAUUAGCGGUGAGAGCUGAACACAAACGGCUCACCAUGGAGCUUGGGCUGAGCUGGGUUUUCCUGUUUGCAAUUUUGAAAGGUGUCCAGGAUGAGCCGCAGCUGGUGGAGUCAGGUGGAGGCUUGGUGCAGCCUGGGGGGUCCCUGAAACUCUCCUGCGUGGCCUCAGGAUUCACCUUCAGUAACGCUGGCAUGCACUGGAUCCGCCAGGCUCCAGGGAAAGGGCUGGAGUGGAUCUCAGUGAUCUGGUACGAUGGUAGUAAAAUGUACUACGCAGACUCCGUAAAGGGCCGAUUCACCAUCUCCAGAGACAACAGCAAGAACACGCUGUAUCUGCAGAUGAGCAGCCUGAGACCCGAGGACACCGCUGUGUAUUACUGUGCAGCACAAUGA